UACGGAGGGGGCUAGCGUUGUUCGGAAUUACUGGGCGUAAAGCGCGCGUAGGCGGACCUGCAAGUCGGGGGUGAAAGCCCGAGGCUCAACCUCGGAACUGCCUUCGAUACUGCGGGUCUCGAGUCCGGGAGAGGUGAGUGGAAUUCCUAGUGUAGAGGUGAAAUUCGUAGAUAUUAGGAAGAACACCAGUGGCGAAGGCGGCUCACUGGCCCGGUACUGACGCUGAGGCGCGAAAGCGUGGGGAGCAAACAGGAUAGAAACCCCGGUGAGU
rnacentral:rRNA from 1 species